rnacentral:rRNA from 1 species
UCAGUAGCGGCGAGUGAGCGGCAAAAGCUCAAAUUUGAAAUCUGGCGUCUUUGGCGUCCGAGUUGUAAUUUGAAGAAGGUAUCUUUGGGCCCGGCUCUUGUCUAUGUUCCUUGGAACAGGACGUCACAGAGGGUGAGAAUCCCGUGCGAUGAGAUGACCCGGGUCUGUGUAAAGUUCCUUCGACGAGUCGAGUUGUUUGGGAAUGCAGCUCUAAGUGGGUGGUAAAUUCCAUCUAAAGCUAAAUAUUGGCGAGAGACCGAUAGCGAACAAGUACAGUGAUGGAAAGAUGAAAAGAACUUUGAAAAGAGAGUGAAAAAGUACGUGAAAUUGUUGAAAGGGAAGGGCUUGAGAUCAGACUUGGUAUUUUGCAUGUUGCUCUCUCGGGGGCGGCCGCUGCGGUUUACCGGGCCAGCAUCGGUUUGGAGCGGCAGGAUAAUGGCGGAGGAAUGUGGCACGGCUUCUGCUGUGUGUUAUAGCCUCUGACGAUACUGCCAGCCUAGACCGAGGACUGCGGUUUUUACCUAGGAUGUUGGCAUAAUGAUCUUAAGUCGCCCGUCUU